AAAGGCAAUACGAGACUGUGUGUGUGUGUGUGUGUGUGUCACGGCUAACUGGGUAAAUAAAACUACAAUCCCAUGAAGCAUUGCAAAUUAUAAUUGCGCCUUUUGGCCAACUUUGCUCUGAUAGGCCAAUUUCGCAUUUCCAGGUUUUUUAAAUCAUGAUUGGUGCACGCUGGGUAAAAGUUAUUCCGGUAAAAAUGUAUAUAAUGUUCUAUCUCUUAAAAAGACCACAAAGACAGGUCUUCAGUAAGACCAAGGCCACGGACCUGCUAUCGCAUAAUCCCAGGGACCAGGGAAGGAUUAUGAGACAAUGGCCCCUUGGGACAGAUACACAAAAGGAACCCAUCAGCCAUGUCCCUCUCACUCAGGCAUGCAGGAUGGCCAUGAUGUUGAUGGGCCCAGUCAAGGAGGUCAAUAAAUGUUUAUUUGGUUCCUGUUGCCAAGGUUGCUGUGGUGUUAUUUUUGUUUAUUUCCUUUGCACAGCUAAGUUAACAUGGUCAGGUUUUUUUUUUGCUGCCAUUGUUAGAUUGGUAAUGUGAUGUAAUAAAGAAAUGUUUUGGAAAUGUUAUAAGGUACUGGAUUUUCAAUGCAAAUAUUAAUGAAUAUAUAAAGUACAACCUAUAUCUUUAAAAAUCACCGGUUCUAACAUUUUGUUUGCUUACAUGCGGCAAUGGUUAGGCUAACUUGUGGCACAAAUUUGACAAAGAAGACUCAACCACCCAAAUGCCAGCAUUCCAUGCAGUAUGUGGGCCGGAUCAAGAUGAUGGAUCUGUGCCAAAAUUUAAAUAAAUGUUGAUCAGAAUGUG